GCAGUAAUUAACAUUGAUUAUGAGCGAAAGCUCGAUUCAGUCAAAGUAAAUAGAGUCGGCUAAUCUGGUGCCAGCCGCCGCGGUUACACCACGUGACUCAAAUUGAUUUUUAUCGGCGUAAAGCGUGAUUAAAGUAACUUACAAUUGAGAUUAAACUAAAACUAAGCUGUAACACGCUUGUUAACUAAGAAACUCAAGAACGAAAGUCAUCUCAAUUAAAUCACUUGAAUUCACGACAACUGAGAAACAAACUGGGAUUAGAUACCCCACUAUGCUCAGUCGUAAACUCUAACUUACAUUAUAAUCGCCAGGGAAUUACUUGCCAAGCUUAAAACCCAAAGGACUUGACGGUACCCUAUAUCCAUCUAGAGGAGCCUGUCCUAUAAUCGAUAAUCCACGUUUAACCUCACCACUUCUAGCUAUUCAACUUGUAUACCUCCGUCGUCAGCUUACCUCAUGAGCGCCUAACAGUGAGCAUAAUGUUUUAUAACAAUACGUCAGGUCAAGGUGCAGUAUAUGAAAUGGGAAGAGAUGGGCUACACUCUCUAUCUUAGAGCACACGAAAAACUAUUCUGAAAUCUAGUUUAAAGGCGGAUUUAGCAGUAAAAAGAGAUCAUCAUACUCAUUUUAAAAUGGCACUGGGGUGUGUACACACCGCCCGUCACCCUCUUCAAA
rnacentral:rRNA from 1 species